GGACUGAGUUGGUAGAGCACAACCUUGCCAAAGUUGGGGUCGAGAGUUCGAAUCUCGUUUCCCUCCA
rnacentral:tRNA from 1 species